rnacentral:rRNA from 1 species
GACGAACGCUGGCGGCGUGCUUAACACAUGCAAGUCGUACGGUAAGGCCCUUUCGGGGGUACACGAGUGGCGAACGGGUGAGUAACACGUGAGUAACCUGCCCACAACUUUGGGAUAACGCUAGGAAACUGGUGCUAAUACUGGAUAUGUGCUCCUGCUGCAUGGUGGGGGUUGGAAAGCUCCGGCGGUUGUGGAUGGACUCGCGGCCUAUCAGCUUGUUGGUGGGGUAGUGGCCUACCAAGGCGGCGACGGGUAGCCGGCCUGAGAGGGUGACCGGCCACAUUGGGACUGGGAUACGGCCCAGACUCCUACGGGAGGCAGCAGUGGGGAAUAUUGCACAAUGGGCGCAAGCCGGAUGCAGCAACGCCGCGUGCGGGAGGACGGCCUUCGGGUUGGAAACCGCUUUCAGCAGGGACGAAGCUUUUUGUGACGGUACCUGCAGAAGAAGCACCGGCUAACUACGUG